rnacentral:rRNA from 1 species
UACGUAGGGGGCAAGCGUUAUCCGGAAUCAUUGGGCGUAAAGCGCGUGUAGGCGGUUCCGUAAGUCCGCUCUGAAAAGCCCAGGGCUCAACCCUGGGAGGCGGGUGGAUACUACGGAACUGGAGUACGGAAGAGGAGAUUGGAAUUCCUGGUGUAGCGGUGAAAUGCGCAGAUAUCAGGAGGAACACCAACAGCGAAGGCAGAUCUCUGGGACGUUACUGACGCUGAGACGCGAAAAGCGUGGGGGAGCAAACAGG